CGGGUGCACUGAUCCGGCCGGGCCUUUCCCUCUGUGGAACCCCAUGGCCUUCACUGGCUGUGCGGGGGAAACAGGACUUUUACUGUGAAAAAAUUAGAGUGCUCCAGGCAGGCCUAUGCUCGAAUACAUUAGCAUGGAAUAAUAGAAUAGGACGCGUGGUUCUAUUUUGUUGGUUUCUAGGACCGCCGUAAUGAUUAAUAGGGACAGUCGGGGGCAUCAGUAUUCAAUUGUCAGAGGUGAAAUUCUUGGAUCUAUUGAAGACUAACUACUGCGAAAGCAUUUGCCAAGGAUGUUUUCAUUGAUAAGGAACGAAAGUUAGGGGAUCGAAGACGAUCAGAUACCGUCGUAGUCUUAACUAUAAACUAUGCCGACUAGGGAUCGGACGAUGUUAUUUCUUGACGCGUUCGGCACCUUUCGAGAAAUCAAAGUGCUUGGGCUCCAGGGGGAGUAUGGUCGCAAGGCUGAAACUUAAAGGAAUUGACGGAAGGGCACCACCAGGGGUGGAACCUGCGGCUUAAUUUGACUCAACACGGGGAAACUCACCAGGUCCAGACACAGUGAGGAUUGACAGAUUGAGAGCUCUUUCUUGAUUCUGUGGGUGGUGGUGCAUGGCCGUUCUUAGUUGGUGGAGUGAUUUGUCUGCUUAAUUGCGAUAACGAACGAGACCUUAACCUGCUAAAUAGCCCGUACUGCUCUGGCAGUUCGCCGGCUUCUUAGAGGGACUAUCGG
rnacentral:rRNA from 1 species